AACGCGAAGAACCUUACCAAAUCUUGACAUCCUUUGACAACUCUAGAGAUAGAGCUUUCCCCUUCGGGGGACAAAGUGACAGGUGGUGCAUGGUUGUCGUCAGCUCGUGUCGUGAGAUGUUGGGUUAAGUCCCGCAACGAGCGCAACCCUUAUCUUUAGUUGCCAUCAUUAGGUUGGGCACUCUAGAGAGACUGCCGGUGACAAACCGGAGGAAGGUGGGGAUGACGUCAAAUCAUCAUGCCCCUUAUGAUUUGGGCUACACACGUGCUACAAUGGAUGGUACAAAGGGCAGCAAAACCGCGAGGUCAAGCAAAUCCCAUAAAACCAUUCUCAGUUCGGAUUGUAGUCUGCAACUCGACUACAUGAAGCUGGAAUCGCUAGUAAUCGUAGAUCAGCAUGCUACGGUGAAUACGUUCCCGGGUCUUGUACACAC
rnacentral:rRNA from 1 species